CAUGCAAUGAUGCAACCUUCCAGGUCCCAGCCUACCCUGUGCAAUCUCAAACCCACGCCCCUCACCAAGCAGGAUAUUCUUGGCUGGGACGCAUACAUUCUCGAAUAUUAUUUCUGCAUGCCCAUGAGGAGCAUCAUCAAAGCCAAAUACUGUUAGCGGUCUCUUUAUGGUAAUACCAGGACUGUUUAUGUCCACCAAGAUCAUGGACUGUUGUUUAUGCUUUGGAGCUGCCAAGUCAGUUUUUCCCAUCACAAUG
rnacentral:misc_RNA from 1 species